UACGGGGGGGGGGCAAGCGUUUGUUCGGAAUUACUGGGCGUAAAGGGCUCGUAGGUGGCCAACUAAGUCAGACGUGAAAUCCCUCAGCUUAAACUGGGGAACUGCGUCUGAUACUGGAUGGCUUGAGUUUGGGAGAGGGAUGCGGAAUUCCAGGUGUAGCGGUGAAAUGCGUAGAUAUCUGGAGGAACACCGGUGGCGAAGGCGGCAUCCUGGACCAACACUGACACUGAGGAGCGAAAGCCAGGGGAGCAAACGGG
rnacentral:rRNA from 1 species